rnacentral:rRNA from 1 species
AUUGAACGCUGGCGGCAGGCCUAACACAUGCAAGUCGAGCGAGCGGCGGACGGGUGAGUAAUGUCUGGGAAACUGCCUGAUGGAGGGGUCUAACUACUGGAAACGGUAGCUAAUACCGCAUACCAUCAGAUGUGCCCAGAUGGGCGUAGCUAGUAGGUGGGGUAACGGCUCACCUAGGCGACGCUCCCUAGCUGGUCUGAGAGGAUGACCAGCCACCCUGGAAGUGAGCUGAGGCCCAGACUCCAACGGUAGGCAGCGGUGGGGAAAAUAGCACAAGUGGAGCAAGGCUGAUGCAGACAUGCCGCGUUGGUGAAGAAGGCCUGCGGGUUGGAAAGCACUUUUAGCGGGAAGGAGUUACUCGAAGAAGAAGCACCGGCUAACUCCGUGCCAGCCGCCGCGGUAAUAC